GUAAAAUUGACAGUAUUUUUUUAGUGUUUGCAAAGUGAAAACGGAAAUGAAUUAAACGCAAAAAAUUUACUGAAUAAAAUUAAUUAAAUUAAAUGCAGGCAAGCGGAGAUAACAAAAACAACUAAUUACCUCUCUCUCUCUCACUCUCCCCCACAACGUCCAUCAACCUAGCAAAAAUCUAUUUAUUAAAACAACAACAAAUUAAAACAAAAAGUAAAAACAAAACUAAAUAAAAAAGCAAACUCAUCAUCACCAUCGAAGCAAUAAGAAAUAUAUAAUAAUAACAACAACAACAAAAAUUAUAUACUAAUAAAAAAGUAUAUAGAUUUUUUGAAAAAAAAAACUGUGAUAGCUAAUAACAACAACAA